rnacentral:lncRNA from 1 species
UUUUAUAUUUGAUAUUUGAUUCUGCUAUUUCUUAUGAGUAGACUGAGGUCAUGCGUUUUUGGCAAGAAUACCACAGAAGCAAUGCACCCUUCUCAAUAUAAUAUUAUAUUGGCAGUUUAAGACGUCAAUAUGUCUUAUUAGUAGUGAUGUUAACUUUGAUCACUUGGCUUGUGGAGGCCGAGAAAAUUAAGGCCAUUCCACUUUGAGUUCAGCGUUAUCACAAGUGCAGCCAUCCCAGGCCCCUGUGAAUAAGGGCUGAACUUUAUCUUACUUCAGUUACAGGAAGAAAACAGCUUGCAGCUUAACAUCCUAGAAAGCCCCUAUUAGAAUAAGAACAGAGCUCAACGCCCUUGAAAGCCCCAUAUCAAAAUGUAAACAGAACUUGAGAAAUUCCUCCAUCCCUUCUGAAGAUCCCCUAGACCAGCCUUUAAAAACUAAGCUGAAACCCACCUCCGGGUCCAAGUCCCUGCUCCGCUGUGUCGGGUACACUUGGACCCAAGCUCGAGCUUGUAAAUAAACCCUCGUGUGUUUGCAUCGGUGUUGGCUCCUUGGUGGUUUCUCGGAUUCGCAAUCUUGGGUACAACAGGUUUAGGUCAUGUCUGCGGGGUUUCUGCACAGUGAAGUUACUAUUUUUCUCUUCUUUAAAUUAAUAAAUAUAUUGGAGUAGAUAUUGAAGACUGUGCAAAUAUCCUGUUUCACCUCACUUUCAUCUGCUAUUAGCAUCUAAUGGUGGAUCUUGCCUGCAAUAGUUGUUAUUGUGGUAUUGUGUGUUCUAAUGGUGAUUUUCUACUUCUCUUAUUCCUUCUAUAUUAUUUAGUUAGAAUUAUUCUCUAGGGAAGACCCAUCCCUUCUGCCUUAUUUAUUUAUUUACUUAGUCAAUUAUUUAUAUAUUACCAAUAUGGAUUCAUGAAUAUUUAUUUUAUUCUAUAGGUUAUAAUCUAAUACCAUCAUUAUUUUUUUGCUCCGUCAGUUCUGGCUCCGGCCACCGAGGCCUCUGUCUAUGGGUUUCUCUGCCCUUUAGACUAGUCCUCACCUUUUUUUGAGCACUGUUUUACUUUCUAGUAAAACAUCUAGCUCAUCUUGUCUUUCCCCUGCUCAGACCAGUAACCAACCAAGUUUCCAAAGCUUCUUUUAGUGGAGAAUAGUAUUUAGAACUCGAGAUUUGUGUGUUAAAUGUGCUCCUAAACUCAACAAUAAGAAAAGAAAAAAUGUGAUUAAAAAUGGGCAAAAGAUCUGAACAGAUACUUCACCAAAGAAGACAUACAGAUGGAACAUAAAAAGCACAUGAAAAGAUCCUCUACAUCACCUGUCAUCAUAGAGUUACAAGUUAAAAGAAGAUGCCACUAUGCACCUAUUAGAAUGACCAAAAAUAAAUAAAUAAAUAACGACAACAACAAACCUGACAUCAAAUGCUGACAAGGACACAGAGUUACAGGAAUUCUCAUUCACUGCUGGUGGGAAUGCAAAAUGGUACAGUCACUUUGGAAGACAGUUUGACAGUUUCUUACAAAGCUAAACAUAGUCUUACCAUAUGAUCCAGCAAUCAUGUUCCUAAGUUCUUACCCAACUGAGUUGAAACGUAUGUCCCUACAGAAGUCUGCACAUGAAUGUUUAUAGCAGUUUUAUUCAUAGUCUCCAAAAACUAGAAACAACCAAGAUGUCCAUCCAAAGGUGAAUGGUAAGCCAACCAUAACCCAUUAAUACAAGGAAAUACUUGUCAGCUACAAAAAAUCACAGAAAGACACAGAGGAAUCUUAAAUGCAUAGUGCCAAGUAAAAGAAAUCAAUCUGAAAAAGCCACAUGCUGUAUGAUUCCAACCAUGUGACAUUCUGGAAAAGAUAAAACUAGGGAGGCAGUAAAAAGACCAGUGGUUGCCAGGGAUUUGAGCUGUGGGGGAUGAAUACAUGAACUACAAGAGAUUUUUAGGGUGGUAAACUAUUCUGUAUGAUACUGUAAUGGUGGAUGCAUGACAUUAUACAAUGUUCAAAACCUACAGAACUCUAUAACACCAAAAUGAACCUUACUGCAAACAAAUUUUUUUAAAAAUCAUUUAGGGGGUUGGAAGAUCCCAGGAAAGAAUGCAGGCUGUGACAAGAGAAUCCAACUGUAUCUUUCUAAAUGUAUGAAGCAACCUCACUGAAGAGGGUGGGGAAAGAAGUGCUGACCCAAGUAAAUUUGGGAAUGGGGCAUGUAAGACUAAAGGCAAAAGGAACUGCCCAUAUGUACUAUGCUCUAGCCAGUACCACAGGGGCAUGAAUUAACCAUUCAGAUAUAACCAUACAUAUAUAUGGGAUUGAUCAAAUCAAUUAAUAAACAGGGAGAAAAGACAAGUUCCUCAUGCAGAAGAAUUCCAAAUAAGUUCUGUAGAUACUCUACCCUAAAGAUAGGGAGCAUAACUUCCCACUCCAAAAAUGGGGGCCGUUCAUAGUGACUUCCUUCCAAAGACUGCAGUAUGAGAAGGGGAAAGAAAAAGAGUCACUUUGCAGUGGAGAGAUCUGACAAACACACUUUGGCCAAGGUCAGCAUCAACAGCCAAAGAUCACGUUGGUAACAUGUACCUGUGCUGGGUUCAAGAGUAUCCUCCCACAAUUCCUUCCCAAGACCUCAGAAUUUGACCUUAUUUGGAAAUUGGGUCAUUGAGGCUGUAAUUAGUUAAGAUGGGGUGAUUCUGGAGUAGGUUUGGCCCUUAUCCAAUAUGACUGCUGUUCUUGUAAGGAAAAGAGAAGAGGCAUAGGGUUAAGAGCUGAGAAUGUCAUGGGACAGUGGAGGGAGGGAUUGACAGUGCUACAACAGGAACCAGGGAAGCUAGGGAAACUGGUGGAAGCUAGAGAGAAGCAAGGAAGGAUUUUUCCAUAGGUUUCAGAUGUGCCAUGGCCUUGCCAACACCUUGAUUUCAGACUUCCAGUUUCCAGAACCAUGAAAGAACAAAUUCAUGUUGUCUUAAGCCAGUUAGCAGUACUUUGUUAUGACAGCCCUAGGAAAAUGAUACAGUACCCUUGACGUGAUAUGAUGAAAAUGGUCCUUUACCUCUGAGCUCUUCCUCCUCAGAACUCUUAACUCCUGCCUAAUGAGGAGAAAAAAACACCAAACAAAUGCCAAUAGAGGAACAUCCUAUGAAAUGGCUGACUAAAACUACUCAAAACUCUCAAAGUCAUCAAAAACGAGAAAAAUCAGAGAAACAGUCACAGCCAAGAAGGGCCUAUCCCUUAGUCCAUCAGAGCUCCUGAAUCCAUUAACAACAACAUGUAUUUCUCAUAGCUCUGGAGGCCAGGAAGUCCGAGCUUUAGUCUUUCUAUUUGUAAACAGAGGUAUUUGGACAAAUAGACACCUUGAUCCAUUCUGUUUCUGGAUCUACUCAUGAAAAAUGAGAAUCUUUGGGCAGCCCCGGUGGUGCAGUGGUUUGGUGCCACCUGAGGCCCAGGGCCUGAUCCUGGAGACCCAGGAUCGAGUCCCACGUCGGGCUCCCUGCGUGGAGCCUGCUUCUCCCUCUGCCUCUCUCUCGCUCGCUCUGUGUCUCUCAUGAGUAAAUAAAAUAAAAUCUUUAAAAAAAAAAGAAUCUGGGAUCCCUGGGUGGCGCAGCGGUUUAGCGCCUGCCUUUGGCCCAAGGCGCGAUCCUGGAGACCCGGGAUCGAAUCCCACGUCCGGCUCCCGGUGCAUGGAGCCUGCUUCUCCCUCUGCCUGUGUCUCUGCCUCUCUCUCUCUCUCUCUCUCUCUCUCUCUCUCUCUCUGUGACUAUCAUAAAUAAAUAAAAAAAAAAUUAAAAAAAAAAAAGAAUCUUCGAUUCAGCUGCCUGAUUUUGUAAUAAUACUUGGCCCAAAAGUACUCAUACCCAUGUCUUUUUAAAGUUUUUUAAAGAUUUUAUUUAUUUCAGAGAUUGAGAGUAAGGGAGAGAAAGAGAUCAUGAGCAGGAAGGAGGGGCAGAGGGAGAAGUAGACUCCCUGCUGAGCAGGGAACCUGAUGCAGGACUCAAUCCCAAGACUCAAGGAUCAUGACUGGAACUAAGGGCAGAUGCUUAACAGAGUGAGCCACGGAGGCACCCCUACCCAUGUCUUUCUGACCGAUAUGAAAUUAUCUCUAAAACAAUAAUGCAUCCAAUACUAACACAUUCAGAAUUACAAUGAGUUUUUGCAGACCCAGGAUCUGGCCAGGAGGAGAAACAGGCUGAAGGGGCAGUUCUCUCUUCUGGCAUGGGUGCCACAUGUUCCCCUCAGGUGCACAGCAUUAAAGUUGGGUGGUGCUGGUAGCUACCCACUCAGGUAAGAUGCAGGCUGUAUAGGCAGUACCUGGUACCCUCAGGUGACUAGGACUACUAAAUUGUAUGGUCCUGGUCAUGGUUGCAUUUUAAGCAUCAUAAAUUCCUGCUCCUGUCAUCCUUUCAUUACUCAUCUAUCCCAAGCAUACUACUGGAAAGACAGAGAUAAAUGAAACAGUC